rnacentral:rRNA from 1 species
UGGGGAAUAUUGGACAAUGGGCGCAAGCCUGAUCCAGCCAUGCCGCGUGUGUGAAGAAGGUCUUCGGAUUGUAAAGCACUUUAAGUUGGGAGGAAGGGUUGUAGAUUAAUACUCUGCAAUUUUGACGUUACCGACAGAAUAAGCACCGGCUAACUCUGUGCCAGCAGCCGCGGUAAUACAGAGGGUGCAAGCGUUAAUCGGAAUUACUGGGCGUAAAGCGCGCGUAGGUGGUUAUGUAAGUUGAAUGUGAAAUCCCCGGGCUCAACCUGGGAACUGCAUCCAAAACUGCAUGGCUAGAGUACGGUAGAGGGUGGUGGAAUUUCCUGUGUAGCGGUGAAAUGCGUAGAUAUAGGAAGGAACACCAGUGGCGAAGGCGACCACCUGGACUGAUACUGACACUGAGGUGCGAAAGCGUGGGGAGCAAACAGG